rnacentral:ribozyme from 1 species
UGUCCAGCAACUUCUAUCCCUACCUCCAAGUGGCACCGGCCGGAAUGCGCACAACCUUAGGGAAGAUCGGGUGACCAACUCCGGUGGAAACUUUGGGCGUAGGCUAACAGGGAAGA